AAACCGCCCCAUAAGUUUUGCAAUUGUGGCAGUUUUGGCCCCCAGGGCCAACCUGCAAGAAUUUAAAAUAAAUAAAAAAAUAACACGCAACACCUCCCUUAGGGUGCCACAUCAGCGUAGAUCGAGUUAAAAUUGGCUUUGGAUGCCAAAACUGCCACAUGUGCAAAACUUAGCGGACGGUUU
rnacentral:pre_miRNA from 1 species